UCAGGGGCCACAGGCUGUGACAAAGCCCAAUUCCUGAGUCCUCCCUCGAAAAGGGGCGGGGAUAACCACCGGCUCAGGUGAGCUCAGAUUCCCCUUUCUAUAUCUCCAAGACAGAAGAACAGCAAAAUAUCCCUGGUCGAUCCUCGGAGGAUGCGAGAGCCAAGAGGAGCAGGCCCUGACCCUGACCCGACCCCACCGGUCCCUUCCGAGAACCCUCACCAUGUGUACCGUAACCCUGAGGAUCCAAUCUUGCACACCCUGGACUCCAGAGAGCCUCCACGGGUGAUUCGUGACCUGGCAGGUGCAGGUCCUGUUGGGUCCGAGUUCUCCAAGUGAACAUCAUGUGACUCAGCGCGCCCCUUUCUCUUGUGAUGUCCACUGUCCUGGGGUCGCAUCACUGCGUUCAGGUUUGCAGUCUUGAUUUUUCAGGAUUAAGUCCCUUACUUAACCACAUCUGGCUCCUGGGUGGAAGAUUGCAGCCGUCACACGUGCACCGAGGGUGGGAGUAGAGGUGUGGGGGGGAGGUCAGGGUACAGGGACCGCUCAGCAGGUUUCAGACAAGGUGAUCCGCUAAGAGUGACUCUGGAACCCUUUCCAGGUUACAUGCCUUGUGGGCCGCAGGGACCCCGGUCCGAUAAGCCCUCAAGCAACAAUCCACUGACCUGGCCCGACCUUCUCCACUGACACAGCCCUUUCCUAGAGACCUCCUUUUCUGGGGAGUCAAAUGCUCUGAGCCACAUGCCUACCUUUCGCCCCCAGACUCAACCCAGGAGAGGACAUUCUCUCACACUCCACUGCCCCACCCCUGUGAACCCUUGAGCCACCUCCUGUUGCCUCAUCUCCCCUCCUGCCCAGUGACCUCGGGGUCAGAAACUCCCUUGGGUGUUUUUGGGCUUCCACUUCUCUGGCUUCUUCACAUCCUGUAACGCUGCGGGUCGUGUUGCUUUCUAGAAAGUUCUCCCUGUAGGUGGCUUUCGGAAUGGAUAUCUACAUUCUCUAGCUUUCGUGGAGAUACCUCCCUCCACAUUUCCAGUCCCCAGACCAGUCCUCCGAGGCCCAAGUCUCCUAUGCCUGUGUCUCUUCCUCAUACCUGCAGAGUGUCUAGUAAAGGAACCAAGGCCCCUUUCUGGAAGCCA